UUAGCUAAUACCGCAUAAUACCUACGGGUCAAAGGAGCAAUUCGCUUCAGGAGGGGGUCGCGGCCGAUUAGUUAGUUGGCGGGGUAAUGGCCCACCAAGACAGUGAUCGGUAUCCGGCCUGAGAGGGCGCACGGACACACUGGAACUGAAACACGGUCCAGACUCCUACGGGAGGCAGCAGUGGGGAAUUUUGCGCAAUGGGGGAAACCCUGACGCAGCAACGCCGCGUGGAGGAUGAAAUCCCUUGGGAUGUAAACUCCUUUCGAUCGGGACGAUUAUGACGGUACCGGAAGAAGAAGCCCCGGCUAACUUCGUGCCAGCAGCCGCGGUAAUACGAGGGGGGCAAGCGUUGUUCGGAAUUAUUGGGCGUAAAGGGAGCGUAGGCGGUUUUGUAAGUCGUGUGUGAAAUCUUCGGGCUCAACUCGAAGUCUGCACACGAAACUGCAGGGCUUGAGUAUGGGAGAGGUGAGUGGAAUUCCUGGUGUAGCGGUGAAAUGCGUAGAUAUCAGGAGGAACACCUGUGGCGAAAGCGGCUCUCUGGACCAUUACUGACGC
rnacentral:rRNA from 1 species